ACGGUAACAGGUCUUCGGAUGCUGACGAGUGGCGAACGGGUGAGUAAUGCAUCGGAACGUGCCCAGUCGUGGGGGAUAACGCAGCGAAAGCUGUGCUAAUACCGCAUACGAUCUAUGGAUGAAAGCGGGGGAUCGAAAGACCUCGCGCGAUUGGAGCGGCCGAUGUCAGAUUAGCUAGUUGGUGGGGUAAAGGCCCACCAAGGCGACGAUCUGUAGCUGGUCUGAGAGGACGACCAGCCACACUGGGACUGAGACACGGCCCAGACUCCUACGGGAGGCAGCAGUGGGGAAUUUUGGACAAUGGGCGCAAGCCUGAUCCAGCAAUGCCGCGUGCAGGAAGAAGGCCUUCGGGUUGUAAACUGCUUUUGUACGGAACGAAAAGGUCUGGGUUAAUACCCUGGGCUCAUGACGGUACCGUAAGAAUAAGCACCGGCUAACUACGUGCCAGCAGCCGCGGUAAUACGUAGGGUGCAAGCGUUAAUCGGAAUUACUGGGCGUAAAGCGUGCGCAGGCGGUUUUGUAAGACAGGCGUGAAAUCCCCGGGCUCAACCUGGGAAUGGCGCUUGUGACUGCAAAGCUGGAGUGCGGCAGAGGGGGAUGGAAUUCCGCGUGUAGCAGUGAAAUGCGUAGAUAUGCGGAGGAACACCAAUGGCGAAGGCAAUCCCCUGGGCCUGCACUGACGCUCAUGCACGAAAGCGUG
rnacentral:rRNA from 1 species